UAUGUGAUCGUCUCUCGCAUAUCAAUAAGCGGAGGAAAAGAAACUAACAAGGAUUCCUCUAGUAACGGCGAGUGAAGCGGGAAGAGCUCAAAUUUGAAAUCUUAAAGGGUUUCCCUUUACGAAUUGUAGUUUAAAGAAGUGUUUUCUGUUGAGGUUUUGGUAAAAGUUCUUUGGAAUAGGACAUCAUAGAGGGUGAGAAUCCCGUAUUUGACCUUUACUUUCAACUUUGUGAUACACUUUCAAAGAGUCGGAUUGUUUGGGAAUGCAGUCCAAAAUGGGUGGUAAAUUUCAUCUAAAGCUAAAUAUUGGCGAGAGACCGAUAGCGAACAAGUACCGUGAGGGAAAGAUGAAAAGAACUUUGAAAAGAGAGUUAAACAGUACGUGAAAUUGUCAAAAGGGAAGCGUUUGACACCAGUGUUGUUUUUCUGAAAAUCAAUUAAAGAACUGUUUAUGCUAAGCUGUUUAGACUUUAUCAGCUAUCUGUUUAGUUUUGAGCUUUUCUUUAAUGCACUUUUCAGUUAACAAGUCAACAUCAAUUUCUUUUGCUGUAAAAAAGCUUGAGGAAGGUGGCUUGAGAUUCGUCUUAAGUGUUUAUAGCCUCUUGCCUAUGCAGUCGGAGAGAUUGAGGUCUGCAGCGUAGAUCCUUCGGGGCUAAAUGCAUUUGUGCUAAGUUAUAGCAUUUUAUAGACAACUUGUUGACUAUGAUUUGUCUUGUAGCUUACUCGCUUAUGUUAUUUUACCUACGCUUAGGAUGUUGAGCGCAUGUCUCUCUCU
rnacentral:rRNA from 1 species